GAUGAACGCUGGCGGCGUGCUUAACACAUGCAAGUCGAACGAAGAGCGAUGGAAGCUUGCUUCUAUCAAUCUUAGUGGCGAACGGGUGAGUAACGCGUAAUCAACCUGCCCUUCAGAGGGGGACAACAGUUGGAAACGACUGCUAAUGCCGCAUACGAUCUGACCUCGGCAUCGAGGAUAGAUUAAAGGUGGCCUCUAUUUAUAAGCUAUCACUGAAGGAGGGGAUUGCGUCUGAUUAGCUAGUUGGAGGGGUAACGGCCCACCAAGGCGAUGAUCAGUAGCCGGUCUGAGAGGAGGAACGGCCACAUUGGGACUGAGACACGGCCCAGACUCCUACGGGAGGCAGCAGUGGGGAAUCUUCCGCAAUGGACGAAAGUCUGACGGAGCAACGCCGCGUGAGUGAUGACGGCCUUCGGGUUGUAAAGCUCUGUUAAUCGGGACGAAAGGCCUUCUUGCGAAUAGUUAGAAGGAUUGACGGUACCGGAAUAGAAAGCCACGGCUAACUACGUG
rnacentral:rRNA from 1 species